CUCUGGGAAAAAAAAUAUAAAGACCUGUAAUCUGAAACAGUGUUUUUUUCACAUUUCUUUGCCUAUAUAUUUUAUGAAGAUUAUAACUGCAUUGCUUACUUCAGAUGCUAUAAAUGCAUGCUUUUAUUUUAAAUCAUAUCUUAGUCAAACAUGAGCUAAGUAGGAUUUUAAAGUACCCAGAAAAAAGCAAGAUUUCAUCUGUUACCUAAAUAAGGAGUCAUUCUCUUCUUACUGAGGCUAGCUUAACAAGUGCUUAGUUCAUGGGAAUGUCAUCAAUGCUAAGUGUGUCAUCAGGGAGGCUUUGCGGGCAAGGUAGAGAACUGGUAUUGUAGUCAAAUCAGGAAGAAGUGAUUUUUCAAUCAUAAUCAGAAAGUCUAUUUGGAUAAAGGUAUAUUAGUGAUUAAAUCCUCAUUGUCCCCAGGGACUUUGUCACUGUUCAUGAGGUAGAAAAAGAAGGUGGAGCUUGAUGUGCUGCCCAGUAGUGUAUUAAUACAAGAUGCCAUAAAAAAGAAAAUGGGAUCUCAUUAUUGCAAUGUGUGCCUUUUCCUCCCCAGAUGGAGACAUUUUAGAAUUGCAUACAACUUCUUGGAAAGGCUGUAUUUGGACUCAAAUACUCAGCAGUUCCAGUAAAUAAGCUUAGGGAGGAAAUGAGUGCAAUGAAGAGCCACUGAAAUAAUAAAGCUGUCAUAAGGCGUCAAUUGCAAUGGAAAAGGGAAAUGGAAUCUAUGCAAUUGCCAACUGAAAAGAAGAAAAAAAUACAGCACAAAAUGGGACAGUUGUAUACGAAACUGAAAUGCCAGGAAUAAAUGGCUAUUGCAUGAAAGUUUAUGUGCUUGGAAAGUGGAAAAAAAUGAGCAAAGUCAUAUCCUAGUGUUUCCAAUUCAGAUGUUGGAAUUGCAACUUCAUUGCACGUAUUUUUCCUAUUACUUGGGAACACAGGUUAACACAAAUGAACAAAAUGGUUCUAUACCCUGCAGCCACAGAACUAUGAAUUUAGAUGAGUCAUUAUUGGAAGUACUUCAUGCUAAGUCAGGGAACUAUGUGAAUACAAGAAAAUGAGUGGGAGAAAAUAGGGUUAAGAUAUAUUAAAUCAGAUGGAUGUGGUGUCUGUUCUGGCCUUCAACUAGAGUAACGUGCCUAAAAGAAGUCACUAAGAAUUAUAGAACAAGACAUUACUGUUAAGUUCUAUUUGUGCAGCUGAGAAGAGCUGUCUCUUAUUUUUUAACUAGUAACUUUUGGUCAGAUUGUUUAGAAAGCAAGACCAUGACUGAUGCUGUGGUGUAC
ensembl:lncRNA